rnacentral:rRNA from 1 species
AAGCAUGAGCUGUGAUGGGGAAGGAAAUUAAGUACGGAAGUUCCUGAUUUCACGCUGUCAAGAAAAGCCUCUAGGAAGAGUAGUACUGCCCGUACCGCAAACCGACACAGGUAGAUGAGGAGAGAAUCCUAAGGUGAGCGAGAGAACUCUCGUUAAGGAACUCGGCAAAAUGACCCCGUAACUUCGGGAGAAGGGGUGCUCUAUUAGGGUGCAAGCCCGAGAGAGCCGCAGUGAAUAGGCCCAGGCGACUGUUUAGCAAAAACACAGGUCUCUGCAAAACCGUAAGGUGACGUAUAGGGGCUGACGCCUGCCCGGUGCUGGAAGGUUAAGAGGAGUGCUUAGCUUCGGCGAAGG